rnacentral:rRNA from 1 species
CCUACGGGGGGCAGCAGUGAGGAAUAUUGGUCAAUGGACGCAAGUCUGAACCAGCCAUGCCGCGUGCAGGAAGACGGCUCUAUGAGUUGUAAACUGCUUUUGUACGAGGGUAAACGCAGAUACGUGUAUCUUUCUGAAAGUAUCGUACGAACAAGGAUCGGCUAACUCCGUGCCAGCAGCCGCGGUAAUACGGAGGAUUCAAGCGUUAUCCGGAUUUAUUGGGUGUAAAGGGUGCGUAGGCGGUCGGAUAAGUUAGAGGUGAAAUCCCGUGGCUCAACUUCGGAAUUGCCUCUGAUACUGUUAGGCUAGAGAGUAGUAGCGGUAGGCGGAAUGUAUGGUGUAGCGGUGAAAUGCUUAGAGAUCAUACAGAACACCGAUUGCGAAGGCAGCUUACCAAGCUAAGUCUGACGUUGAGGCACGAAAGCGUGGGGAGCAAACAGGAUUAGAUACCCGUGUAGUC